GCGGCGGUGGCGAAACCGGUAAACGCGGUGCCCUCAAAAGGCAUUGCCCUUGCGGGCUUGUGGGUUCGAGUCCCACCCGCCGCA
rnacentral:tRNA from 1 species